rnacentral:misc_RNA from 1 species
GACAAAGGCCGACCGUUGCCUAAGUUUGGCGAAUGGGAUGUUAAUGACCCUGCUUCCGCAGAGGGUUUCACUGUAAUCUUCAAUAAGGCCAGGGACGAGAGGAAGACGGGCAAUACCCCUCGGGGGUCUGAUUCUCCCAGUAGGGAUGAUAGUACAUCCUUCAAGAAUGGACCUUAUACCACCAAGCCCAAUGCGAAAAAAUGGUUCUGCUGCGCCUCGAGUGCUGCUGAGUCUUAGAUAUUAAGGCUGUGAAUCAGUAAUACUGUAGUGUGGAGUUGUAUGGUUGUGCAAUAUUAUUUUCU